rnacentral:rRNA from 1 species
UGAGUAACCUGCCCUUCACUCUGGGAUAACUCCGGGAAACCGGGGCUAAUACUGGAUAUGACUCGAACAGGCAUCUGUUUCGGGUGGAAAGAUUUAUUGGUGGAGGAUGGACUCGCGGCCUAUCAGCUUGUUGGUGAGGUAAUGGCUCACCAAGGCGACGACGGGUAGCCGGCUGAGAGGGCGAUCGGCCACACUGGGACUGAGACACGGCCCAGACUCCGUACGGGGAGCA